AGAACUGAUAAUUUGAGUGAGUGGAAUGAAGGAGUAACGUCCUGAAACGCUCCCCCUGAUACUCCGAUUGGCGUUAACAGUGAUGUUAUGGUCAAAAGCUCGGUGAAGUCGGCAGAGAGCAACCCAAACAGGUAAAGCUGUGGAAAGUGUUCCAGAGGUGGGAUAUGUUGCCUAUAUGCCGGGGGUCUAUAAA
rnacentral:ncRNA from 1 species